rnacentral:rRNA from 1 species
GUGGGGAAUAUUGGACAAUGGGCGCAAGCCUGAUCCAGCCAUGCCGCGUGAGUGAUGAAGGCCUUAGGAUUGUAAAGCUCUUUCACCGAUGAAGAUAAUGACGGUAGUCGGAGAAGAAGCCCCGGCUAACUUCGUGCCAGCAGCCGCGGUAAUACGAAGGGGGCUAGCGUUGUUCGGAUUUACUGGGCGUAAAGCGCACGUAGGCGGUUUGUUAAGUCAGGGGUGAAAUCCCGGAGCUCAACUCCGGAACUGCCUUUGAUACUGGCAAGCUAGAGUCCGGAAGAGGUAAGUGGAACUCCUAGUGUAGAGGUGGAAUUCGUAGAUAUUAGGAAGAACACCAGUGGCGAAGGCGGCUCACUGGUCCGGUACUGACGCUGAGGUGCGAAAGCGUGGGGAGCAAACAGGAUUAGAAACCCGGGUAGUCC